CGGACCGGCGCACGGUGAGUAACGCGUAUGCAACUUACCUAUCAGGAGGGGAUAACCCGGCGAAAGUCGGACUAAUACCGCAUGAAGCAGGGGCCCCGCAUGGGGAUAUUUGCUAAAGAUUCAUCGCUGAUAGAUAGGCAUGCGUUCCAUUAGGCAGUUGGCGGGGUAACGGCCCACCAAACCGACGAUGGAUAGGGGUUCUGAGAGGAAGGUCCCCCACAUUGGUACUGAGACACGGACCAA
rnacentral:rRNA from 1 species